rnacentral:rRNA from 1 species
UAGAGUUUGAUCAUGGCUCAGGACGACCGUUGGCGGCGUGCCUAAUACAUGCAAGUCGAACGCACUCUCGUUUAGAUUGAAGGAGCUUGCUCCUGAUUGAUAAACAUUUGAGUGAGUGGCGGACGGGUGAGUAACACGUGGGUAACCUGCCCUAAAGUGGGGGAUAACAUUUGGAAACAGAUGCUAAUACCGCAUAAAACCUAACACCGCAUGGUGUAGGGUUGAAAGAUGGUUUCGGCUAUCACUUUAGGAUGGACCCGCGGUGCAUUAGUUAGUUGGUGAGGUAAAGGCUCACCAAGACCGUGAUGCAUAGCCGACCUGAGAGGGUAAUCGGCCACACUGGGACUGAGACACGGCCCAGACUCCUACGGGAGGCAGCAGUAGGGAAUCUUCCACAAUGGACGAAAGUCUGAUGGAGCAACGCCGCGUGAGUGAAGAAGGUUUUCGGAUCGUAAAACUCUGUUGUUGGAGAAGAAUGUAUCUGAUAGUAACUGAUCAGGUAGUGACGGUGUCCAACCAGAAAGCCACGGCUAACUACGUGCCAGCAGCCGCGGUAAUA